AGCUUUGCGCAAUGGCAGUAUCGUAGCCAAUGAGGUUUAUCCAAGGUGCGACUAUUACUAAUUGAAAUCUGACAUGUACCAUAGGUACAUACAUCUCUCAGCCUUUGAUGAAGUUUUACAUCCACAGUCAUGCA
ensembl:snRNA U4 U4 spliceosomal RNA